GCAAAUAUUCUCUAACGGCUAGGGAGGUACUCUGUAACAGUAUUAGCUAACUAGCUACUCUGGGUUCGAAUCCCAGAUUUGCA
rnacentral:tRNA from 1 species